CCCUGGGCAUUCCCCUAACUUCUGGGCAGAAUUGUGGAGCUCUGUCUCCUACCUGCUAGUACUGGUCUGGGCUGUUUGGGCUCAGAGAGCUCAUAGGCUAAAUCAGGUACCAAAAAGUGGUGCAGACAUGAGGAAUGGGUUUGUGUUAAAAGUGCUAGAGGGAAAACCUGAAUCCUGAUUACUUUGGUGGGACUGUUCUGCAUGUGAAUAGGAGAGCUCCUGUCUUUUCCUUAUGGGGUGCAUCUGAGAAGUCACCAACCGCAGAACACUUGCGUUAUUACCCAGCACCGUCAGCUUCGCCGUCUCGAUGGGACGAUGCAGAGCUCAGCCUAAAGGUCUUCAGCUCCCAUGGGCCAUGGAAAGAAAGAUUAAAGCAUCUCUGAGUUCUUCUCAGAAGCGAUUUUUAAAUUAAUGGAAACAGCUAUGCAAAGAGGAAAAACAAUCCUUGGGAAAGAGAACACUGUUCUACAAUGCACUGUCACUUCUUUCUCCUAGAACAACUCUUACCUAGCAAAGGGCAAACUCCCAGAACACAAAGCCCCUUACAUAAGUAGUUUUAACAUUUUUCAUGGCUGUGGUGUCAUGAUUAGCAUUGAAAAUAACAGAGUAGAAGUG